CCUACGGGAGGCAGCAGUGGGGAAUUUUGGACAAUGGGCGAAAGCCUGAUCCAGCCAUGCCGCGUGCAGGAUGAAGGCCUUCGGGUUGUAAACUGCUUUUGUACGGAACGAAAAGCCUCUUUCUAAUAAAGAGGGGUCAUGACGGUACCGUAAGAAUAGGCACCGGCUAACUACGUGCCAGCAGCCGCGGUAAUACGUAGGGUGCGAGCGUUAAUCGGAAUUACUGGGCGUAAAGCGUGCGCAGGCGGUUAUAUAAGACAGUUGUGAAAUCCCCGGGCUCAACCUGGGAACUGCAUCUGUGACUGUAUAGCUAGAGUACGGUAGAGGGGGAUGGAAUUCCGCGUGUAGCAGUGAAAUGCGUAGAUAUGCGGAGGAACACCGAUGGCGAAGGCAAUCCCCUGGACCUGUACUGACGCUCAUGCACGAAAGCGUGGGGAGCAAACAGGAUUAGAUACCCUGGUAGUCCACGCCCUAAACGAUGUCAACUGGUUGUUGGGAAUUCACUUUCUCAGUAACGAAGCUAACGCGUGAAGUUGACCGCCUGGGGAGUACGGCCGCAAGGUUGAAACUUAAAUUGAAUUGACGG
rnacentral:rRNA from 1 species